GAAAGCUUGGAGAACAAAACAUUAAGUAACUUGCCCACAAGCCAUCCAAAAAGGCUGAGAUGGACCUACAUCCUCAUAACAAUAGUGUUCCAAGCAGGAAAGGAGAACGUGAAAUCAAACAGGGCUUUCCUCCUGGGACUUUCUCUAUUGAAGGGGAAAAUCUCAGAAGCCACUUGCAGACUUCUUCUACAUCUCAUUUGGCCAGAACUGGUUCAGAUGCCCACCAGACCAAACAAAGGGGAAACUAUGACUGGCUUAGAGCAGUCAUGGUAUAUAUCCUGGGGCUUAGCCUUCUGCCAUUUAAAAAAUUGAGGGAAUCUGGCAGCAAGCAAGAAGAGGGAAUGGCUAUAGAGCAGGAAAUGAACAAUGUAAGCCACAUCUUAUUUAAUAUUUACCUAAAUUUAGUAAAUAUUACAUACAUAUUAGUUUAACCAAAAAGCGUUAAAAAAUUAAGAGACAAAAGUGUAUACAUUGGGAGAAGGAUGUAUAUAGCAACUAAAUCCUCAUCUUCCAUAGCAGGAAACUAAUUGUUAAUAUCCCAAGCUGAGAAAUACGCUGGGCACAGGGGCUCACACCUAUAAUUGCAGCACUUUGGGAGGCUGAGGUGAGAAGAUCACCUUAGCUCAGGAGUUCAAAACCAGCUUGGGCAACAUGGUGAGAAACCAUCUCUACAAAGACUUUAAAAAUUAGUCAUGCUUGGAGCAGUAUGAAAAAGAAGAGGCAAGAACGACCCCCUGACCAACCAAAGCCCAUGCGCCACUGCAUCCCACGCCCAGCGCCUACAUCCCGCCGCCAUCACCACCAUGCCCAAGAGAAAGGCUGAAGGGGAUGCUAAAGGAGAUAAAGCCAAGGUGAAGGACGAAUCACAGAGAAGAUCCGCAAGGUUACCUGCUAAACCUGCUCCUCCAAAGCCAGAGCCCAAGCCUAAAAAGGCCCCUGCAAAGAAGGGAGAAAAGGUACCCAAAGGGAAAAAGGGAAAAGCUGAUGCUGGCAAGAAAGGGAAUAACCCUGCAGAAAAUGGAGACGCCAAAACAGACCAGGCACAGAAAGCCGAAGGUGCUGGAGAUGCCAAGUGAAGUGUGUGCAUUUUUGAUAACUGUGUACUUCUGGUGACUAUACAGUUUGAAAUGUUAUUUUUUAUCCAGUUUUAUAAAAAUGCAGAAUUUUGUUUUACUUUUUUUUAAGCUAUGUUGUUAGCACACAGAACACUUCAUUGUUGUUUUGGGGGAAGGGGCAUAUGUCACUAAUAGAAUACCUCCAAAGCUGGAUUGAUGUGGGGAAAUACCUUUCCCUUCUAGUUUUGAGAGACUUCCUCUUGGCUCCCAGGAGGAGGGAUUCCCUGACUUUGACACACAUGGCCACCUUGGUACACAAAAGCCUUGUGGUAUGGAAAAACAAAUUUGUUUUUCUGUCCUCUUCUCCCUUUCCGUCUUUCAGCAUAGACUUAACUCCCUUAAGCCCAAACAUCUGUUGGGACCUGACCCCCAGUCAUUGGUUACCAGUGUGUCAGGCAAUCUGGACUUGCCAGUGAUGCCACUGAGAUGACACCUGUCAAAAGAGCAGUGAUUCCAUUUCUAGAUUGUGGACCUUCAGAUAAAUUCUGCCAUUUUCAUUUCACUUCCUGAAAGUCAAGAGUUGGCUCGUGAAAAGCUGUUAAACAUGCUAAAUGUGAAAUGUCAACCCUCACUCUAAACUUACCCUGUUCAGAGCAUCAAAUGAAGACUUCAUUGGGUUUUAUAGUGGCUCUCUGAUUUUUGGUAGUCCAUCAAAGAAGGGAGUUUGAAAGUUGUUGUAUACUGUUAAUGAUUGUCUGCCCAUGUCCUGCCUGAAAUACCAUGAUUGUUUAUGGAAAGUAUCUUUAAUAAAGCUGGAUACAGUUUGGCUUGGAAAAAAAAAAA